GAUGAUAGGCGUUAAGAGCUAGUAGCAUAAAGUGAAAGACACUAAUAAGAGCUCUGGAACAGAUUCUGGGUUUCAUGUAAUUAUGGAAGUAACUUACAUAAUUUAAGAAUGUAAGGACAAUGCGUACAAUCAUGUUUAGGUAUGAAACGAACUUCUGACCAAGAUCCCGAAUGUAUUCAUGUUGUGAUGAGCAUCGUUAAUGAAUAGAUGAAAAGAUAAGAGUAGGUAUGAGAAAGGUUUCGGGGACGAAACCUCCUUUAAGGGAGGUAGAUUUGUAACAGCCCAAAAUUUAUAAUAGAUUAUUUAUUAUGUUAAGAGUUUAAUUUAAUUAGUUAAGUCUAAUAAAUAUGAUAUAAGUUUAUAAAGAAUGAAAUAUUUAUAUAAGAAUGACAACAUAAAUGACCACAAAAGCAACCUUGAGGGGUUGAAUAUGUAAAUUAUGAUGUUAAACAUAAGAAAAAUGAAAAACCCAGUGUUUUUGGUGGGUGUAUGUCACGAGCAGAGGGCAAGGGAAAAGGGAAAAACCCUUCUCCUUCAAUUGAACUCAAGAUUCAGCAAAUUGGUGAUGGUUUUAAACACAAAUCGAAUGCAUGAGCUUAGUUACUCCAUAACCUAAGUGGUUUGAACAUAAGUAUAGGGAUCAUAUCAAGAUGGAUGGAAGCAUGAAGGGCUAACGGGUCAAGAGGACAUGGGGAAGCGAACGCAAAUACGGAUGCGUAAGGUAAGUAAUUUCCCGGACUCCCUCUUUAGUAGUAAAGAGAUUAGUUGCAUAAUAAAUGUUAGAAGUUGUGUUGAAACGUGAAUUUGAUGAUGAUAUCAAGUAUUAGUAUUAAGUGAGUGAUUUUCCGGAAUCACUUCUUAGUUUAUUAAAGUAAGGUUAUGUGCUAGUUAUUUAAGUAUGGUAUUGGAGAUUAGGAAGGUUUGAGUAUGUAGAAGUGAAGGUUUCCGCUAAGUCGACCAAACGGGUCAAAAUGAGAGUUAACCCAUUACGGUAUGAUUUGCAUAAGUUAUGACGAAGGUAUUAUAACCGGGUCAUGGAACUAAUUUCUUACAAGUGCGAUAACCGAGAAAUGGGGACAUGGGUUAAUGGUAAAAAGGCUUAGUCUUGAGUUUAAACAAAAGAGUUGUUUGAUAAAAACAUGAACGGGUCGAAUAAUUUGUAAAUGAAUAUUAAGCCAAAAGCAUAUAAGUUAAGAACUUCCUUAGUUUGGAUGUUAGAUUUUGAGUCCAUUUGAUAGAGGACCAAAAUAUGGUCAUGUAGGAAGAAACGAGAGGUUAAACGGGUUGAAAGUUAUGCGAAUUUAGUUUAUGCGAACAACGAAACAACACAGCAGGAAAAUGAAUAAACGAGGGGCCGUCGCCGACGCCCAGAAGGGUCGUCGCCGACGGCAUGUGGGAAUUGAAUUUUGGCCGACGGCCUAGUUUCCUGUCUACGGAGCUUUUGGACGACGGAGGUGCGUCGCCGACGGCCAAUAUGGGCGUCGGCGACGGUGCCAGAGUUUAUGUUUUCUGUUUUCUUCCAUAUGUGAACCCGGUUGAUCCAGUUCGUGUCCCGGCGUUCCGUUAAGCUCCCGAAUGGACCAAAAAUCAAGUUUCUGAUGCAUUUUUGAUAAAGGAAAGGUAUGUAUGUUUAUAACUCCACGUGUACGUAUGUAGUGGGUUAUGUAGUUAUGCUUAAUAAUAUGUAAGAAUGUUGAAUGUAUGUCUAGUCGUAGGAAGGAUAUGUAAGUACGUAGCUGUGUAUGUAGAUAUGUAUAAGGAUAUGUAUGAGUGUACGUACGAAUGUAGAUGUAUAUGUAUGUGGGUAUGUAAAUACGUAUAUGUGUAUGAUUUAGACACAUUGAUCAUUAACGUUAUUAAUGGUGUACCACGAGAAUGAUAAGUAAUGCAGGUACAUUCAUGAAGCCUCACCAGGAAAUGGAUACGCAGAUGUAAAUCUUGAAGUUGAUAAAGAAAGAGAUGUGAGGUGUACGUGAAUGAUCUUGUUUAUACAUUAUGUGCUAAUGUUUGAAUGUAUAUGGUGAAUGCAGGUUGUACGGGAGACGGAGGAUCAUCAAGGUAUAAAGAUCGAGGACCGAGUCACUUGAGGGAUUGUACGGGGUUGUCUAAGGAUGUAAUUUGUUGUACAUAAGCUAUGAUUUAUUCUAUAAUUGAGUCAGUUGUUGUAUUCUAUAUAAAAAGAGUUAUUUUAAAAA